UGGGGAAUAUUGCACAAUGGGCGCAAGCCUGAUGCAGCGACGCCGCGUGAGGGAUGGAGGCCUUCGGGUUGUAAACCUCUUUCGCCAGUGAAGCAGGCCAUCUUCUUUGUGGGGUGGUUGACGGUAGCUGGAUAAGAAGCGCCGGCUAACUACGUGCCAGCAGCCGCGGUAAUACGUAGGGCGCGAGCGUUGUCCGGAAUUAUUGGGCGUAAAGAGCUCGUAGGCGGCUGGUCGCGUCUGUCGUGAAAUCCCCUGGCUUAACUGGGGGCUUGCCGUGGGUACGGGCCGGCUUGAGUGCGGUAGGGGAGACUGGAAUUCCUGGUGUAGCGGUGGAAUGCGCAGAUAUCAGGAGGAACACCGGUGGCGAAGGCGGGUCUCUGGGCCGUUACUGACGCUGAGGAGCGAAAGCGUGGGGAGCGAACAGG
rnacentral:rRNA from 1 species